ensembl:snRNA U6 U6 spliceosomal RNA
GUGCUUGCUUCAGCAGCAUAUAUACUAAAAUUAGAACGAUGCAGAGAAAAUCAGCAUGGCCCCUGCACAAGGAUGAUGUGCAAAUUCGUGAAGUGUUCCAUGUUUUG